rnacentral:rRNA from 1 species
GACGAACGCUGGCGGCGUGCUUAACACAUGCCAGUCGAACGGAAAGGCCCUGCUUUUGUGGGGUGCUCGAGUGGCGAACGGGUGAGUAACACGUGAGUAACCUGCCCUUGACUUUGGGAUAACUUCAGGAAACUGGGGCUAAUACCGGAUAGGAGCUCCUGCUGCAUGGUGGGGGUUGGAAAGUUUCGGCGGUUGGGGAUGGACUCGCGGCUUAUCAGCUUGUUGGUGGGGUAGUGGCUUACCAAGGCUUUGACGGGUAGCCGGCCUGAGAGGGUGACCGGCCACAUUGGGACUGAGAUACGGCCCAGACUCCUACGGGAGGCAGCAGUGGGGAAUAUUGCACAAUGGGCGGAGGCCUGAUGCAGCAACGCCGCGUGCGGGAUGACGGCCUUCGGGUUGUAAACCGCUUUCGCCUGUGACGAAGCGUGAGUGACGGUAAUGGGUAAAGAAGCACCGGCUAACUACGUG